rnacentral:lncRNA from 10 species
UGCUGUGUUGGGGAUCCUGAUCGUUAACCCCUGAUUGUUUUGGGCUCUCCAAGGCCCACAGGCUGGACCUGCUGAGAUGCUGGAACAGCCAAUGUGGUGGCCUGCCCUGUCACCCAGGCACUCCAUCCCAGGGAGAAAUUAGAACUCUUCUCCAAAGCCCACAGGCUGGAAUGGCUGAAUUGACCAAACAGCAGAGAUGGCAGUCCAC